rnacentral:lncRNA from 1 species
AGGUUAAGCAAAUUACUCAAGGUCAUGUUCAGGCACUAUGCUAUGCAAUUGUGAGCCAGAGAUGGAGACAUAGCCCCUGACAAGGCUGUUGUGUGUGGUUGCCCAGCUUGAGCACUGCACAAAAUUGCCUCAUCCAUUGCAGAGGGCAAAGGAGGAUGAGGCUUGAAAUUUAGCCCAAGUUCUGCUCAUAAACCUUGGCCCUGACCCUGGCUACAUUGCACAAAUUCUACAAGCCAAGAUGUGUCUAUGAAGCUGACGCUAACCAGAGGCGGAAGAGCAUUACAAAUUGAGUGAAGCUCCUAGUUGGGUUAACGGCAGCCCUGGCCCCAGGAUCUCAAAAGCAGCCUGAAAAGCAGAUGAUGACAAUGGAACAUGGAUAUGCAGCCCCUGGGGCGAACCUGAGUGUUUGAAAUGCAUGGCAACAAUGUUUAAUUCAUGGCAACAAUGAAUCAGUGCUCUAAGGAAGAAAGAAGUGAAUGGCAAGAUUGCACUUGCCCUCACAGGACUGCCAGCCAGAAACUACAUUUCCCAGCAUCCCUUGCAGCUUGGUAUGGCCAUGUGACCACAUUCUCAUUAAUACAGGAAUAUGAAAACUUCCUGUGUGGGUCCUUUUAUGGCUGCUUCUAGAUUUUCAAAGCUGUCCCAGCUGAGACGCAGGCAAAGAGAAGAAAGAGGCUGGGCUGAAAACCACUGCAAUUUCCUGGGGAGAGAGUGCCCCCGGAUGGGCCAUUGAUCUUCAUUGUUCCUGCUAGACAAAUAGACUUCUCAACAUCAAAUAAAAC